rnacentral:rRNA from 1 species
UGGCCUACGGGGCGCAUCAUUAUUUAAUAUUGCUCAAUGGGUGAAACCCUUAAGCAGCAACUCCUCUUUUAUUAUUAAUUUUUUAUUAUUGUAAACUCCUUUUUUAAUAUAAUAUUAUUACGGUAUCUUACGAAUAAGCACCGGCUAACUCCGUGCCAGCAGCCGCGGUAAUACGGAGGGUGCAAGCGUUACUCGGAAUCACUGGGCGUAAAGAGCGCGUAGGCGGGUGGUCAAGUCAUAUUUUAAAUCCUUUAUCUUAACUACAGAACUGCAUUUGAAACUGAUCAUCUAGAGUAUGGGAGAGG